CCUACGGGAGGCAGCAGUGAGGAAUAUUGGUCAAUGGACGAGAGUCUGAACCAGCCAAGUAGCGUGAAGGAUGACUGCCCUAUGGGUUGUAAACUUCUUUUAUAUGGGAAUAAAAUGUUCCACGUGUGGGAUUUUGUAUGUACCAUAUGAAUAAGGAUCGGCUAACUCCGUGCCAGCAGCCGCGGUAAUACGGAGGAUACGAGCGUUAUCCGGAUUUAUUGGGUUUAAAGGGAUUGUAGGUGGAUUGUUAAGUCAGUUGUGAAAGUUUGCGGCUCAACCGUAAAAUUGCAGUUGAAACUGGCAGUCUUGAGUACAGUAGAGGUGGGCGGAAUUCGUGGUGUAGCGGUGAAAUGCUUAGAUAUCACGAAGAACUCCGAUUGCGAAGGCAGUUCACUGGACUGCAACUGACACUGAGGCUCGAAAGUGUGGGUAUCAAACAGGAUUAGAUACCCGAGUAGUC
rnacentral:rRNA from 1 species